rnacentral:rRNA from 1 species
AGGACAUGCAAGUCGAACGAUGAAGCCCAGCUUGCUGGGUGGAUUAGUGGCGAACGGGUGAGUAACACGUGAGUAACCUGCCCUUAACUCUGGGAUAAGCCUGGGAAACUGGGUCUAAUACCGGAUAGGAGCGUCCACCGCAUGGUGGGUGUUGGAAAGAUUUAUCGGUUUUGGAUGGACUCGCGGCCUAUCAGCUUGUUGGUGAGGUAAUGGCUCACCAAGGCGACGACGGGUAGCCGGCCUGAGAGGGUGACCGGCCACACUGGGACUGAGACACGGCCCAGACUCCUACGGGAGGCAGCAGUGGGGAAUAUUGCACAAUGGGCGAAAGCCUGAUGCAGCGACGCCGCGUGAGGGAUGACGGCCUUCGGGUUGUAAACCUCUUUCAGUAGGGAAGAAGCGAAAGUGACGGUACCUGCAGAAGAAGCACCGGCUAACUACGUGCCAGCAGCCGCGGUAAUACGUAGGGUGCGAGCGUUAUCCGGAAUUAUUGGGCGUAAAGAGCUCGUAGGCGGUUUGUCGCGUCUGUCGUGAAAGUCCGGGGCUUAACCCCGGAUCUGCGGUGGGUACGGGCAGACUAGAGUGCAGUAGGGGAGACUGGAAUUCCUGGUGUAGCGGUGGAAUGCGCAGAUAUCAGGAGGAACACCGAUGGCGAAGGCAGGUCUCUGGGCUGUAACUGACGCUGAGGAGCGAAAGCAUGGGGAGCGAACAGGAUUAGAUACCCUGGUAGUCCAUGCCGUAAACGUUGGGCACUAGGUGUGGGGACCAUUCCACGGUUUCCGCGCCGCAGCUAACGCAUUAAGUGCCCCGCCUGGGGAGUACGGCCGCAAGGCUAAAACUCAAAGGAAUUGACGGGGGCCCGCACAAGCGGCGGAGCAUGCGGAUUAAUUCGAUGCAACGCGAAGAACCUUACCAAGGCUUGACAUGUUCUCGAUCGCCGUAGAGAUACGGUUUCCCCUUUGGGGCGGGUUCACAGGUGGUGCAUGGUUGUCGUCAGCUCGUGUCGUGAGAUGUUGGGUUAAGUCCCGCAACGAGCGCAACCCUCGUUCCAUGUUGCCAGCACGUCCGGGGUGGGGACUCCUG